rnacentral:rRNA from 1 species
AGAGUUUGAUCCUGGCUCAGGAUGAACGCUGGCGGCGUGCUUAACACAUGCAAGUCGAACGAACCUUCGGGUUAGUGGCGGACGGGUGAGUAACGCGUAGGGAAUCUGCCCUCAGGAGGGGGAUAACGGCUGGAAACGGCCGCUAAUACCCCAUAUGCCGAGAGGUGAAAAGAAAUUCGCCUGAGGAUGAGCCCGCGUCUGAUUAGCUAGUUGGUGGGGUAAGAGCUCACCAAGGCGACGAUCAGUAGCUGGUCUGAGAGGAUGAUCAGCCACACUGGGACUGAGACACGGCCCAGACUCCUACGGGAGGCAGCAGUGGGGAAUUUUCCGCAAUGGGCGAAAGCCUGACGGAGCAACGCCGCGUGAGGGAUGAAGGCCUCUGGGCUGUAAACCUCUUUUCUCAAGGAAGAAGACAUGACGGAACUUGAGGAAUAAGCCACGGCUAAUUCCGUGCCAGCAGCCGCGGUAAUACGGGAGUGGCAAGCGUUAUCCGGAAUUAUUGGGCGUAAAGCGUCCGCAGGCGGCCCUGUAAGUCUGUCGUUAAAGCGUGGAGCUUAACUCCAUUUAAGCGAUGGAAACUACAGGGCUUGAGUGUGGUAGGGGCAGAGGGAAUUCCCGGUGUAGCGGUGAAAUGCGUAGAUAUCGGGAAGAACACCAGUGGCGAAGGCGCUCUGCUGGGCCAUAACUGACGCUCAUGGACGAAAGCCAGGGGAGCGAAAGGGAUUAGAUACCCCUGUAGUCCUGGCCGUAAACGAUGAACACUAGGUGUCGGGGGAAUCGACCCCCUCGGUGUCGUAGCCAACGCGUUAAGUGUUCCGCCUGGGGAGUACGCACGCAAGUGUGAAACUCAAAGGAAUUGACGGGGGCCCGCACAAGCGGUGGAGUAUGUGGUUUAAUUCGAUGCAACGCGAAGAACCUUACCAGGGUUUGACAUCCUGCGAAUCCCUUGGAAACGAGGGAGUGCCUUCGGGAGCGCAGAGACAGGUGGUGCAUGGCUGUCGUCAGCUCGUGUCGUGAGAUGUUGGGUUAAGUCCCGCAACGAGCGCAACCCACGUCUUUAGUUGCCAGCAUUCAGUUGGGCACUCUAGAGAGACCGCCGGUGAUAAACCGGAGGAAGGUGUGGAUGACGUCAAGUCAUCAUGCCCCUUACAUCCUGGGCUACACACGUACUACAAUGCUACGGACAAAGGGCAGCAAGCUCGCGAGAGUUAGCAAAUCCCAUAAACCGUGGCUCAGUUCAGAUCGUAGGCUGCAACUCGCCUACGUGAAGGAGGAAUCGCUAGUAAUCGCAGGUCAGCAUACUGCGGUGAAUACGUUCCCGGGCCUUGUACACACCGCCCGUCACACCAUGGAAGUUGGCCAUGCCCGAAGUCGUUACUCCAACCC